AAUGAGAAUGGAGUAAAAAUAGCAGAUGAAGAAAGUUCAGUGAACCAGGAAUGAGAAACUCCCUGCUGAACGAAUUUCCAUUUUUCCCAAAAAGCGUGUGAUUUGCAGAGCCGCAGCCUGCGUGGUGCACAAAAACCGCGAGAGCUGUAUGGAUGAGUGACACAGUUGGAGGCGCAACACCGAUGACACGCUCGACGGCGCCCUGUGCAUCAACCGAACAGGGGAGUGCGCCGGACAAAAAUCAGCGUAGCACUUUCUUUUGUGGAAAGCAGGCUGGCUCCUCCUGGCAUCCUGCGAGCUUGGUUUUGCACAAGUGACGGAAUAUAAAGGCGACCGACUCUCGAUUAAAGACACAGUCUUCAGAAUGAUCUCAAAGGUUCAGGUGCUCGUCUUUGCUGCGGUGGUUUGUCUGGCCACAGUUUCGUGCUACAGGAAACCAAGUCAUGAUCACGGAGAUGCUGACGUAGCCGCGACGUCGGGUUUCAGUGGGGG